rnacentral:misc_RNA from 1 species
ACAUAAGGAAUUUGAUCACACAAAACCGUAAUGUGAUACUGCCUGUAAUCUUCCCUGCUUUGGAGAGAAACACUAGGGGUCACUGGAACCAAGCUGUUCAGAGUCUAACACUGAAUGUGAGGAAGAUAUUCUCUGAUGCUGAUCAAGAACUUUUUGAUGAAUGUUUGGUUAAAUUCCAAGAAGAUGAAGUGAAGGAGAGAGAAAUACAGGAGAGGAGAGAAUCAACAUGGAAAAGAUUGGAGGAUGUGGCAGCAUCUAAGGCCAUAAGCAAUGAGGCUGUGCUUGUCUCAAGAUUUGCCUCCUCUGUGGCAAUUACAACUGUGACAAGUCCACACAGUACUGCUGGUAGUUGAUAGCCGCAGUGUGGAACUGUUGGAGUUUACCCUUGUUUGUAGUUGAAUGAUACAGGAGGGGACCUCAUUGGCAUGAUAGGGAAGAAUUUGUUUGGCUUCUCCGUGUUUGUCAUAUUAUCUCAUCAACAGGACAAGUGCAGGCAGGGUUUUGAGGGGAUCGGUUAUUCCUAUUUUUUGGGUUGUGGGCUCAUUCUGUUUCAUUUGAUUUUCUGCCAUUAAAGUGUAACCGUGUGUAUUAUAAGGGAUUUGAUUUAUAGAGGCAGUGCUUCAGAUUUCCUACCUGGUUAUUUCCUGUAAUGAUGCAAAGAAGAUUUUUCCUUCUGUGUUUCAUUACAGGAAAUAACCAGGUAGGAAAU